ACGAACGCUGGCGGCGUGCUUAACACAUGCAAGUCGAACGGAAAGGCCCUGCUUUUGUGGGGUGCUCGAGUGGCGAACGGGUGAGUAACACGUGAGUAACCUGCCCUUGACUUUGGGAUAACUUCAGGAAACUGGGGCUAAUACCGGAUAGGAGCUCCUGCUGCAUGGUGGGGGUUGGAAAGUUUCGGCGGUUGGGGAUGGACUCGCGGCUUAUCAGCUUGUUGGUGGGGUAGUGGCUUACCUAGGCUUUGACGGGUAGCCGGCCUGAGAGGGUGACCGGCCACAUUGGGACUGAGAUACGGCCCAGACUCCUACGGGAGGCAGCAGUGGGGAAUAUUGCACAAUGGGCGGAAGCCUGAUGCAGCAACGCCGCGUGCGGGAUGACGGCCUUCGGGUUGUAAACCGCUUUCGCCUGUGACGAAGCGUGAGUGACGGUAAUGGGUAAAGGAGCACCGGCUAACUACGUG
rnacentral:rRNA from 1 species